GCAUAUUUCAGGAUUUGAAAACAGGAAAACUAAUUGAUAGUGGUAGAUUGCGAGAUGGUCUGUAUUUUAUGGAUGACGGUUGUAGUUCCUCAAAUCCCGAAGCAAACGAGACUUUGUUAAGAUAGUAUAUGAGUGCUAAUGAGGAGAUUAUCUAGUGGCAUAGGAGAUUAGUACAUCUAUCUUUUCAUGUUUUAAAAGGUUAUAUCCUAACUUGUUUAGAAAUUGCAACUCAGAUUUACUAAUUUGUGAUGUUUGUGAAUUUGCCAAACAUACAAGACAUUUUUAUCCUUCAACAGAUAAUAGAAGUUUGGUCCCUUUUAUGACUAUUCAUUCUAAUGUAUGGGGACCUACCCAAACUACUUCUUUGUCUAGAUAUAAAUGGUUUGUUACUUUUAUUGACUAUUGCAUCAGGUUGACAUGAGUUUAUUUGAUGAUAGCAAAAAGUAAAGUGUUUUCUUGCUUUUAACAGUUUCACAAAAUGAUUUGCAUACAAUUUGAUGCUAAAGUUAAAAUCUUGAGAACUGAUAAUGGCACAGAAUAU
rnacentral:misc_RNA from 1 species